CCCCUAGAUGUUCUGGGCCGCACGCGCGCUACACUGAACAGUUCAACAAGUCUCAACCUUGGCCGAUAGGUCUGGGUAAUCUUUGAACGCUGUUCGUGAUUGGGAUAGACCUUUGCAAUUAUGGGUCUUCAACGAGGAAUUCCUAGUAAACGCAAGUCAUCAGCUUGCAUUGAUUACGUCCCUGCCCUUUGUACACACCGCCCGUCGCACCUACCGAUUGAACGGUCCGGUGAAAUCUUGGGAUUUGCUUUGCUUUCGUUUGUUCGAUGCUCGGCGAAGAACUUGAGUAAACCUUACCGUUUAGAGGAAGGUGAAGUCGUANCA
rnacentral:rRNA from 1 species